rnacentral:lncRNA from 1 species
GAGAUGGUUGGGGCAGGGUCAGCGGUGGUGAACACGUACCCUUUAUCGAGCUACACAUUCGGUACUAAAGAACCCAAGAUGGAGAAAGACACUUCUGUGGCGGAUCGCCUUGCUCGCAUGAAAGUCAAGUAAAAAGAUAACAACCCUUUUGUUUUUUUUGCUUCUUUUGGAGUUUUGGUGGUUGGAUUUUUGGAAUUCCUUAAGAAAAUCCUAGAUAAACCCUAGAUUUAUUGGUUUAGUAAAACCCAACAUGGAAAGUUUGAUUCUUUGUUUUGUUAUUGACAGUUAUAUGAAAGAGGGGAUGAGGACCAGUGUUGAAGCUAUUUUGCUGGUAAUGUUUUUGUUUUAUCUUCAUUCCUUUUUAACUAGUUUUUGUGUUUGAAAUGUGUUAUAAUUGUUAAAUUUUGUAAAAUGAAGCUGUUUAUGAUUGUGUUUUGCAAUUCUACUAGCUUUGAUUGUGUUUGUAGUUUGUUAGUUUGAAAGGUUUGACUGUGUUUCUAGUGUUAGUAGUGUGAGAAUAUAAUCUUUGAUUGUGUUUUGCAAUUAUACUAGCUUUGAUUGUGUUUGUAGUUUGUUAGUUUGAAAGGUUUGAUUGUAUUUCUAGUGUUAGUGUGAGAACAUAAUCUUUGGUUCACUUGAAAUGAAGACAAGAAUUGUCCAGCCAUUUUCUGUUAAUGGUACUUAUUCACAAUGACCUCUCUAUCUCUCUGAUUACUGAACAAUAUAUUUUCCCUUGUUUUCUUUGACAAUUCGAGGGCCUUUUGCAAAAAAAAAAAAAAAGAUAAUUUUUGGGAAUAAUUUCUAUAGAUAAAUGUUAGAUUCAUACCAUGUGGAGCAAGUCAUGCUGUUAUAAUUUGCCUCUAGGAUAGCUCAAUGUCUUCAUUUUAGGUGGUUGAAAUAUGUCUUCUAUCCAAUAUCGAUAAGAAUUUCUUUGAUGUUGAUGCUUAUGUUGUGUCAUGUCUUCUUUUAAGUCUUUUAUAUCUGUUCUGUUUGCGAUAGCAACUUGUUUUUGCCAUGUCUUCUAUAUAACUCAAUUUCUUCUCUGUGAUCUUGUACUUAUCGACCUUAAUCACUCAUGGCCUCGUCUGUGAUAGCUCCAUACAUCUUUUUUCUAAUUAUUAUGAUCUGUCUCGUGGUGCAAUAUAUUAUCAUCUUGCAGGUACAGGAACACAAUCAUCCUCACAUACUUCUUCUGCAAAUUGGAAACACAUUCUGCAAACUUCCAGGUGGGCGUUUGAAGCCUGGAGAGAAUGGUAUAUUUUUCCUCUUCUCUUUGUAUUAUCUUUCAAUUUCGUAAGAUAUAUCCCUUCAUUAUAUUUUUUCAUGGAAUGAGCUCUUUCUGUAUCACUGUUUGGGAUAUUUCUGUUUUAUUCUGCCCGGGCUUAUGUAACAGAAAUUGAGGGUUUGAAAAGAAAGCUGACGAGCAAGCUUGGAGCUAAUUCACCUGCUCUUGUGCCAGACUGGCAGGUAACUCUUUUGGGCUAUCUUCAGUUGUAAGUGUUAACUCAUGAAGACAACUUUAAGGAACUGAUACCUGUAGGUGUAAACUUAAGGAUAAUAUGAUUGGAUUCAUGAAAAAAAAUUUAAAAAAUGCACAAAAAAAAAAAACAAAAUGCAUCUGUGGUGCAUGUUUUUGAUAAGUUGCAUUUUCUUCCCUGCAUUUCAUGGUGAUAGAACUUCUGCUAGGAACUUAUCCUGGAAAAAAUUGUUAAUGCCUUGGAGGGCAUCGUCCCCAUGAUUCUGUGUGCCCAUAGAUGCUUCUUGAGUUAUUUUCUGAUGCAUAUUUUGCCACAUGUCAUUUGCUUGCAGAUUGGUGAAUGUGUGGCUACCUGGUGGAGGCCAAACUUUGAAACCAUUAUGUAUCCAUAUUGCCCUCCCCACAUAACAAAGCCCAAGGUAACCAAACUAUGAAUAUUCUUAGCUUACGUGGAUCUUUCUUUUUUCUUCAUAUGUUGUAUAUGCAAUGCUCAUCCAUUUCUUUCUCCGGUCUUGGUAAUGCAGGAGUGCAAGAAACUUUAUCUUGUUCACUUAUCUGAAAGGGAGUACUUUGCAGUGCCAAAAAAUUUGAAACUGCUUGCUGUGCCAUUGUUUGAACUCUAUGAUAAUGUGCAGGUAUGAUCACAUGGAUUGUUCAUCGACUGAGUUUAGAGUUUGAUCUGAUUUUGCAAUUGUCUGAGAUGUUUUUAUGGUUUUGAAUUCUAUAUUUUCUUUGCUUUAAACUAGUUUAUGUGUAAAAAAUGAAUUUUUUUGAAUCAAGGGGUAAUGGUCCAACUAAUUCAGAAACUGAGGCUUCAGCUUUGAUGAGUUGUAUGCAUAUAAAGAGUAAUGUACUAGUCUGGUGAAGAUGCAUCGUGAAGAUUUACCUGGGCAAACUUUAUCCUGUGAUUUUUUUUUGUCCACCCUCCCCUUCCUCCACUUAGUAACCUCUAUUCUCCUGCUUGUAAGAUGGUGAAAACUGAUUUCUUCCUCGCAUUUCCUUAGUCAGGUUUCUGAAAAAAACAGUCAUGAUUUUCUAGUAUGCCUUUUUAAAUCAAUGAUUUUCUAGUAUUUCUUGUUACAAUAUGCCUUACUUGAUGCAGAGAUAUGGACCAGUUAUAUCAACCAUUCCUCAACAACUCUCAAGAUUCCAGUUCAACAUGAUUACUACUUGAACUUUGUGAGGAUUUGAGAAGUUGUGAUGGU